ensembl:snoRNA
GUAUUCAGAGUCUCAUAAGAUCUCCCUGGGCAUCUCACAGUGUCUGGUACCACAGCAAACCUUGACUCUAAAUGAAUGCUUUGCCUCUGUGCCCAUAGGUAUUGGUACUGAAGCAAGCUGUACAGGU